CUGGCGGUGAGGACAAUGUUCCUGACGGUGAGCACAAGGUUCUUGCCAAUGAGGACAAGCUUCCUGGCAGUGAGGACAAGGUUCCUGGCGGUGAGGACACGGUUCCUGGCGGUGAGGACAAGGUUCCUGGCGGUGAGGACAAGGUUCCUGGCGGUGAGGCCAUAGGUUCCUGGCGGUGAGGACAAGGUUCCUGGCGCUGAGGACAAGGUCCCUGCCCGUUAGGACAAUGUUCCUGGCGGUGAGGACAAGGUUCCUGGCGAUGAGGACACGAUUCCUGGCGGUGAGGACAAGGUUCCUGGCGAUGAGGACACGGCUCCUUGCGGUGAGGACAAG